AGUGAACGCUGGCGGUAGGCCUAACACAUGCAAGUCGAACGGCAGCACAGUAAGAGCUUGCUCUUACGGGUGGCGAGUGGCGGACGGGUGAGGAAUACAUCGGAAUCUACUUUUUCGUGGGGGAUAACGUAGGGAAACUUACGCUAAUACCGCAUACGACCUACGGGUGAAAGCAGGGGAUCUUCGGACCUUUCGCGAUUGAAUGAGCCGAUGUCGGAUUAGCUAGUUGGCGGGGUAAAGGCCCACCAAGGCGACGAUCCGUAGCUGGUCUGAGAGGAUGAUCGGCCACACUGGAACUGAGACACGGUCCAGACUCCUACGGGAGGCAGCAGUGGGGAAUAUUGGACAAUGGGCGCAAGCCUGAUCCAGCAAUACCGCGUGGGUGAAGAAGGCCUUCGGGUUGUAAAGCCCUUUUGUUGGGAAAGAAAAGCAGCAGGUUAAUACCCCGAUGUUCUGACGGUACCCAAAGAAUAAGCACCGGCUAACUUCGUG
rnacentral:rRNA from 1 species